UACGUAGGGUGCGAGCGUUGUCCGGAAUUACUGGGCGUAAAGAGCUCGUAGGUGGUUUGUCGCGUUGUUCGUGAAGACCUGAGGCUUAACCUUGGGCGUGCGGGCGAUACGGGCAGACUGGAGUACUGCAGGGGAGACUGGAAUUCCUGGUGUAGCGGUGGAAUGCGCAGAUAUCAGGAGGAACACCGGUGGCGAAGGCGGGUCUCUGGGCAGUAACUGACGCUGAGGGGCGAAAGCGUGGGGAGCGAACAGG
rnacentral:rRNA from 1 species